rnacentral:rRNA from 1 species
UACGUAGGGUGCGAGCGUUGUCCGGAAUUAUUGGGCGUAAAGAGCUCGUAGGCGGCCUGUCGCGUCGGUUGUGAAAGCCCGGGGCUUAACCCCGGGUCUGCAGUCGAUACGGGCAGGCUAGAGUUCGGUAGGGGGAGAUCGGAAUUCCUGGUGUAGCGGUGAAAUGCGCAGAUAUCAGGAGGAACACCGGUGGCGAAGGCGGAUCUCUGGGCCGAUACUGACGCUGAGGAGCGAAAGCGUGGGGGAGCGAACAGG